rnacentral:ncRNA from 2 species
AUGUGUGUAGGAGUGGUUUUACUGAAUCAGUGGAAACAAGGAUACACUUGAUUCAAUAAGACCUUAAA